rnacentral:rRNA from 1 species
GACGAACGCUGGCGGCGUGCUUAACACAUGCAAGUGGAGCGACGAACCGGGCUUCGGCCCGGGGCAAAGCCGCGAACGGGUGAGUAUCACGUGGGUAGCCUGCCCCGAUGACCGGGACAACCCGAGGAAACUCGGGCUAAUACCGGAUGUGCUCCUCGCACACCAGUGCAAGGAGGAAAGGAAGCUUCGGCCUCCGCAUCGGGAUGGGCCCGCGGCCCAUUAGCUUGUUGGUGAGGUAAAGGCUCACCAAGGCGACGAUGGGUAGCUGGUCUGAGAGGACGAUCAGCCACACUGGGACUGAGACACGGCCCAGACUCCUACGGGGGGAAGCAGUGGGGAAUCUUGCGCAAUGCGCGAAAGCGUGACGCAGCAACGCCGCGUGAGGGAAGAAGGCCUUCGGGUUGUAAACCUCUUUCAGGAGGGACGAAGGUUCAGGCGCGAAUAGCGUCCUGGACUGACGGUACCUCCAGAAGAAGCCCCGGCUAGCUACGUGCCAGCAGCCGCCGCAG